GUUAGGAAUAUUGGACAAUGGGCGCAAGCCUGAUCCAGCCAUGCCGCGUGAGUGAUGAAGGCCUUCGGGUUGUAAAGCUCUUUAGCCGAUGAUUAUAAUGACUGUAGUCGGAAAAUAAGCCCCGGCUAACUUCGUGCCAGCAGCCGCGGUAAUACGAAGGGGGCGAGCGUUAUUCGGAAUCACUGGGCGUAAAGCGUGCGUAGGCGGCUUUGCAAGUUGGGAGUGAAAGCCCAGGGCUCAACCCUGGAAUUGCCCUCAAAACUGCAAGGCUCGAAUUCGGGAGAGGAUAGCGGAAUUGUCAGUGUAGCAGUGAAAUGCGUAGAUAUUGACAGGAACACCAGUGGCGUAAGCGGCUAUCUGGACCGAUAUUGACGCUGAGGCACGAAAGCGUGGGGAUCAAACAGGAUUAGAAACCCUUGUAGUCC
rnacentral:rRNA from 1 species